rnacentral:rRNA from 1 species
UGGGGAAUCUUGCACAAUGGGGGAAACCCUGAUGCAGCGACGCCGCGUGAGCGAUGAAGCCCUUCGGGGUGUAAAGCUCUUUCGGCAGGGAAGAUUAUGACGGUACCUGCAGAAGCAGCUGCGGCUAACUACGUGCCAGCAGCCGCGGUAAUACGUAGGCAGCGAGCGUUGUUCGGAGUUACUGGGCGUAAAGGGUGUGUAGGCGGUCGUUUAAGUUUGGUGUGAAAUCUCCCGGCUCAACUGGGAGGGUGCGCCGAAUACUGAAUGACUAGAGUGUGGGAGAGGUGAGUGGAAUUCCUGGUGUAGCGGUGAAAUGCGUAGAUAUCAGGAGGAACACCGGUGGCGAAGGCGGGUCUCUGGGCCGAUACUGACGCUGAGGAGCGAAAGCGUGGGGAGCAAAC